UAUGCAGCAAAAGCAGAUGGAGAUGAAAGCCUCAGAAGUGCCACAGUCCCCUGUCAGAAAAAUAAGGACUUUGCAAAGAGUCAGUCUAAAACAGAGAAUGAGAAGCCUAAAGACAGUGAUGAGGAGCUGUGGGGAAAGUCUUUCACUCCAACUAUUGACAGCUUGUUGUAUGAAGACAAAAAUGUUUUCCAGGACUACUUAAAGCUGGUCCCUCUGGAGACAAAUCUAAUGUGUGUCGUUGGAAGAGCCAUGCCUAUUCACAAAGAACCAGAAGAAAUGCCAGGCAGGAGCCACACAGAAGAUGGCGUUACUGGUAAAUCAGACAGGCACAUCACAGCUCAGAUGAUCAAGGCCUUAUCUAAAGACGAGUUUGGUUAAAAAUAGACAAACCAACACAGAAAUGUAACAUUGUCAGUUCAUUAAGCAUUUGCUCUGUUCUUCAAGGAGCGUG
rnacentral:lncRNA from 1 species